rnacentral:rRNA from 1 species
UACGGAAGGCAGCAGUGGGGAAUAUUGCACAAUGGGCGCAAGCCUGAUGCAGCCAUGCCGCGUGUAUGAAGAAGGCCUUCGGGUUGUAAAGUACUUUCAGUCGUGAGGAAGGUGUUAAGGUUAAUAACCUUAGCAAUUGACGUUAGCGACAGAAGAAGCACCGGCUAACUCCGUGCCAGCAGCCGCGGUAAUACGGAGGGUGCGAGCGUUAAUCGGAAUUACUGGGCGUAAAGGGCACGCAGGCGGUUAAUUAAGUUGGAUGUGAAAUCCCCGGGCUUAACCUGGGAAUGGCAUUCAAGACUGGUUAGCUAGAGUCUUGUAGAGGGGGUAGAAUUCCAUGUGUAGCGGUGAAAUGCGUAGAGAUGUGGAGGAAUACCGGUGGCGAAGGCGGCCCCUGGACAAGACUGACGCUCAUGUGCGAAAGCGUGGGGAGCGAAACGAGGAUUAGAUACC